rnacentral:rRNA from 1 species
UACGUAGGGUGCAAGCGUUGUCCGGAAUUAUUGGGCGUAAAGAGCUCGUAGGCGGUCUGUUGCGUCGGCUGUGAAAACCCGGGGCUCAACCCCGGGCCUGCAGCCGAUACGGGCAGACUAGAGUUCGGCAGGGGAGACUGGAAUUCCUGGUGUAGCGGUGAAAUGCGCAGAUAUCAGGAAGAACACCCGUGGCUAAGGCGGCUCUCUAGUACGGUACUGACGCUGAGACGCGAAAGCGUGGGGAGCGAACAGG